rnacentral:lncRNA from 1 species
GAGUGACCCUCCUAUCCCAUGGUGCCAACAAGGGUGGUGGCCUGCCAUGGCUGGACCACAUCCAUUGCACCCCUAGGCCUUGGCCCACUCUGGGCACAGGAGACCCAUGUGCUCAGAGCCUCCCUCCCCUGGAGAGGAUGACACAUGCCAGGCUCACCGCUGGCUCCACACCUGCUCAGGCCUCCACCCCUCCAGCCGCUCUGCUGACCACUCUCUUAUGGAAACCCUGAGCCCGACCCACCAGUUUUUCUUCUCCUGAUCCACAGACACCGACUCUGGUGCUGUGCCACCUGCCUUGGGUCCCACUCGCAGAUCCUGCCUGAGCCUUUCCUGGUGACUCACCCCUAGGUCGUGAGCACUGGUUGAACAGCUGCUGGCACAGCUUCCCCAGGCGACCAAGGAAGCAGCCCCGCCCCGUCCUCCUUCAGAAGAAGAGGGCACAAGGUUUUGGCGUCCAGAACAUCAACCCUACAAGUGUUUGGAUGACCUGUGGACGAUCACACCGGGACAAUCCCAGACCUCUCCCAGCUGGAGGAAAACUGUUCCAGUUAAGCAAGAAGAAACCGAAGCUGCACAGCAGGGGCCACCCAACUGGUGUUGCCACACUGGCCUGACGAAACCCUGACCCGAAACGGAAGGAUCUGUCCUCUUGGUUCAUGCGAAUCACCUUCUUACGUAGGUUCUGGGCAUGUCUCACCCUGUCUCUGUCCCCUCUGCCGUGGGGCCCCUGCCCAGAGCUCACCUAUUUCGAACGGACAUGCUGCUCCUUUUGCCACCUUGUGCUGUCACCAACCCUGCGUGGUUCCUGCAUGCUGCUGGUGACAACCUGCAAAUCUCCAACUCCUGUACCUCAAGUGGUCCUGAAAUCCUAUUUGACUUCCCCAAAACACUUACAUUCCUGGGAGUGUGACACAGCUUGGAGGGAGGACUCAGGCAGGGGACAGGAGAGAAGACAAAUGAAGCAUCAGGCUCUGGUGUCCUCAAAGACCCUCCCCUCCUGGUAUCUCCCACGCAGGGGUGAGUUCCUUCCCCUCCAGUGGGCUGCCGGGAAGGUUGGGGGACUCUUCCCAGACCGCUUGGGAGUCUAUGAAAUGCGCUCAUCCUGCCCACCGCUGUCUCUCCCAUGA